rnacentral:rRNA from 1 species
UACGUAGGUGGCAAGCGUUAUCCGGAUUUACUGGGCGUAAAGAGGGCGUAGGCGGUCUUAUAAGUCAGAUGUAAAAUCUCUCGGCUUAACCGGGAGGGAUCAUUUGAUACUGUUAGACUAGAGGGCAGCAGAAGGAGGUGGAAUUCCCGGUGUAGUGGUGAAAUGCGUAGAUAUCGGGAGGAACACCAGUGGCGAAGGCGGCCUCCUAGGCUGUUUCUGACGCUGAGGUCCGAAAGCGUGGGGAGCGAACAGGAUUAGAUACCCCCGUA